CCUACGGGAGGCUGCAGUGGGGAAUUUUGGACAAUGGGGGCAACCCUGAUCCAGCCAUUCCGCGUGAGUGAAGAAGGCCUUCGGGUUGUAAAGCUCUUUUGUCCGGGGCGAAACGGGCGGCCCUAAUACGGUCGUCUACUGACGGUACCGGAAGACUAAGCACCGGCUAACUACGUGCCAGCAGCCGCGGUAAUACGUAGGGUAUGAGUGGUCGUCGGGAGUACUGGGCGUAAAGCGUGCGCCGGCUGUGAAGUCCCCGGGCUCAACCUGGGAAUGGCAUUUGGGACUGCAAGGCUGGAGUGUUGCAGAGGGGACUAGAAUUCCUGGUGUAGCAGUGAAAUGCGUAGAUAUCAGGAGGAAUACCGAUGGCGAAGGCAGGUCCCUGGGUUAACACUGACGCUCAUGCACGAAAGCGUGGGGAGCAAACAGGAUUAGAUACCCCAGUAGUC
rnacentral:rRNA from 1 species